AACGAACGUUGGCGGCGUGGAUUAGGCAUGCAAGUCGAACGAAUGUUAGUUUUGUAGCAAUACAGAGCUAGCGGAAGUGGUGAAAGGGGCAGUAAUGCGUGGGUAACCUACCUUGGGGAUGGGGAUAGCCGUUCUAACGAACGGGUAAUACCCAGCGAUUCGACGGGAGGGCAUCCUUCUGUCGGGAAAUGAGUUUCGCCUCGAGAGGGGCCCACGUGCUAUUAGCUAGUUGGUAGGGUAACGGCCUACCAAGGCUAAGAUGGCUAGCGGGUGUGAGAGCACGACCCGCGCCACUGGCACUGAGACACUGGGCCAGACACCUACGGGUGGCUGCAGUCGAGGAUCUUCGUCAAUGGGCGCAAGCCUGAACGAGCGACGCCGCGUGCGCGAUGAA
rnacentral:rRNA from 1 species